rfam:Monodelphis domestica chromosome 2, whole genome shotgun sequence.
ACAAAGGCUCUUUUCAGAGCCACCCACUAAUUCCUUAAAAGUAGCU